rnacentral:rRNA from 1 species
AGUUCGGAUUGAGGCUGAAACCCGCCUCCAUGAAGUUGGAUUCGCUAGUAAUCGCGCAUCAGCCAUGGCGCGGUGAAUACGUUCCCGGGCCUUGUACACACCGCCCGUCAAGCCAUGGGAGCCGGGGGUGCCUGAAGUUCGUGACCGCAAGGAGCGACCUAGGGCAAAACUGGUGACUGGGGCUAAGUCGUAACAAGGUAGC